CAACACCAGUGUGGAGUGUGUCAGCAGAAAUACUGUGGGUGUAGUGAGAGGGAAGUUGCAGGAAACGCAAGAAGGAAGGAAACAGAGAGAUCUUUCUGAAGGAUGUGGGAAUGCAGUUCUCCCCUGGACCAUAGCUGGUGUGUCUCUCAGUGUGACUGUUGCCAUCCUCAUCUACCUGUCUUCAAAUGCUUACAUACGGAUGCAAGGUAUGAAUGGGAAGCCAAAAGAAGAGGAGAGCACCUACAUCUCAUUGGAUAAAAAAGACAUGACUCAG